rnacentral:lncRNA from 1 species
CCCUGCCGCCGCUGCCUCGUGCCGUGGCCCCGACGCCGUCGCCGCCGAGUGCCUCGCCUAGGCCAUCCACAACUCACCUUGCUGUACGAGUGAUCCAUGAGAGGGCAUGACUAAAAACUGCAAUCGAAAAACCAAGCAUUCAGUCAUAGCGCCAAACAUCAAGGAUUUUGCAGAUCUUCAGAUCCGGUCGAUCAUGGGCUUCAGAAAACGAUGAGUGAACUGGCUACCAGCGGUUCGAAGCUUCAAUGAGGAGGUCUCAAGAGACUAGAAGGGACGGAUUGGGAGGCAAGGAGCGGCCGGAGCAUGAUGGUGCCUCUCCAGCAAGCCGCACGCGCCGCGGCGUUGCCAGCCUGAGCAUCGACCAUGGCUUGGGGUCCAGUUCUUGGGCCUCUGUAGUGAGGAGAUUGGCGGGGAGGCGACCAAGGCGAGCGUGAGCAAAGGAAGAGAGAGGAACAGGAGGGGAGAAGAGAGAAGAGAGAGGAACAGGAGGGGAGAAAAGAGAAGAGGAUGAUAUGUUUCUGGAGCUGGAGCACUGCAAUCAGUCAAAUACGUACUCUAUGUUUUUCUAGAGUUGAUGGAGUGGAGUUGCAAAAGUAUGGAGUUAGUGGAGUAGAGUUGUUUUUUCUAGAGAAGAGUGCUGCCAAGCACACCCCUUAACACCCCUUAAUAUUCCUCAGGCCGCCUCCUCCUAUCAUAUCGUUUGUACUCUCGCUGACUGCUCCAGCGUGAAACCACCAAACAAGCAAAGCCCC